rnacentral:rRNA from 1 species
GUAAGGACAUGUGGAGCGCUUAGAAGUGAGAAUGCCGGUGUGAGUAGCGAAAGACGGGUGAGAAUCCCGUCCACCGAUUGACUAAGGUUUCCAGAGGAAGGCUCGUCCGCUCUGGGUUAGUCGGGUCCUAAGCUGAGGCCGACAGGCGUAGGCGAUGGAUAACAGGUUGAUAUUCCUGUACCACCUAUAAUCGUUUUAAUCGAUGGGGGGACGCAGUAGGAUAGGCGAAGCGUGCGAUUGGAUUGCACGUCUAAGCAGUAAGGCUGAGUAUUAGGCAAAUCCGGUACUCAUUAAGGCUGAGCUGUGAUGGGGAGAAGACAUUGUGUCUUCGAGUCGUUGAUUUCACACUGCCGAGAAAAGCCUCUAGAUAGAAAAUAGGUGCCCGUACCGCAAACCGACACAGGUAGUCAAGAUGAGAAUUCUAAGGUGAGCGAGCGAACUCUCGUUAAGGAACUCGGCAAAAUGACCCCGUAACUUCGGGAGAAGGGGUGCUCUUUAGGGUUAACGCCCAGAAGAGCCGCAGUGAAUAGGCCCAAGCGACUGUUUAUCAAAAACACAGGUCUCUGCUAAACCGUAAGGUGAUGUAUAGGGGCUGACGCCUGCCCGGUGCUGGAAGGUUAAGAGGAGUGGUUAGCUUCUGCGAAGCUACGAAUCGAAGCCCCAGUAAACGGCGGCCGUAACUAUAACGGUCCUAAGGUAGCGAAAUUCCUUGUCGGGUAAGUUCCGACCCGCACGAAAGGCGUAACGAUUUGGGCACUGUCUCAACGAGAGACUCGGUGAAAUCAUAGUACCUGUGAAGAUGCAGGUUACCCGCGACAGGACGGAAAGACCCCGUGGAGCUUUACUGUAGCCUGAUAUUGAAAUUCGGCACAGCUUGUACAGGAUAGGUAGGAGCCUUUGAAACGUGAGCGCUAGCUUACGUGGAGGCGCUGGUGGGAUACUACCCUAGCUGUGUUGGCUUUCUAACCCGCACCACUUAUCGUGGUGGGAGACAGUGUCAGGCGGGCAGUUUGACUGGGGCGGUCGCCUCCUAAAAGGUAACGGAGGCGCUCAAAGGUUCCCUCAGAAUGGUUGGAAAUCAUUCAUAGAGUGUAAAGGCAUAAGGGAGCUUGACUGCGAGACCUACAAGUCGAGCAGGGUCGAAAGACGGACUUAGUGAUCCGGUGGUUCCGCAUGGAAGGGCCAUCGCUCAACGGAUAAAAGCUACCCCGGGGAUAACAGGCUUAUCUCCCCCAAGAGUUCACAUCGACGGGGAGGUUUGGCACCUCGAUGUCGGCUCAUCGCAUCCUGGGGCUGUAGUCGGUCCCAAGGGUUGGGCUGUUCGCCCAUUAAAGCGGUACGCGAGCUGGGUUCAGAACGUCGUGAGACAGUUCGGUCCCUAUCCGUCGUGGGCGUAGGAAAUUUGAGAGGAGCUGUCCUUAGUACGAGAGGACCGGGAUGGACAUACCUCUGGUGUACCAGUUGUCGUGCCAACGGCAUAGCUGGGUAGCUAUGUGUGGACGGGAUAAGUGCUGAAAGCAUCUAAGCAUGAAGCCCCCCUCAAGAUGAGAUUUCCCAACUUCGGUUAUAAGAUCCCUCAAAGAUGAUGAGGUUAAUAGGUUCGAGGUGGAAGCAUGGUGACAUGUGGAGCUGACGAAUACUAA